GAGGGAAGGCAAGGUGGCAGGGGCGGCUGAGAGCUCGCACCUUGAACCAAAGCAGGAGGCGGAGAGUGUACUGGAGAUGGCAGGAGGCUGUUUUGUUUUAAAAUUUUAUGUGUAUUUUUGCCUGCAUGUAUGUAUGAGCUCGUGUGUACCUGGUACCUGGGGAGUCCAGAAGAGGGCGUUAGCUCCUCUAGAACUGGAGUUACAGAUGGUUGUAGGUGCUGGGUAUCAAACCCAGGUUCUCUGCAAUAGCAGUCAGUGCUCAUAACCACUGAGCCACCUCAAAGUCUGCUCCAAAUAACACACCUCCUCCAACAAGUCCAUACCUACUAAUCCUUCCUAAACAUUGCAACAGGGGAUCAAGUAUUCAAACAUAUGACCUAUGAGGGCCAUUCUCAUUUAAACCACCACAGGGCCCUGGGGUAGACAGUACUCAAGUUUGCAAUUCAAAUGCAUAAAAGCAUGAUCAUGGUCUCUGUCUCUGUCCCCGUGUGUCUGUGUGUCUGUGUGUCUGUGUGUGCUGGGAAUUGAACCCAGGCCUCAUGCAUGCCAGGCAAGCCCUCUACCACUGAGCUGUAUUCCCAGUGUGAAAGGCUUUUGCUUCAGUGCCCAGUUUGGAGAAAUAACUCCAGCAGUAUUCAGCAGUGCCCAUGGUAUUUCAUGGAGGGUCUUCCAUGGUAGAAAGCAGGACCUUGGUGGGGACUCACAAGGCCUGGAGUUAAAUUCCCCCGGAGGGGAAAACAAUAGCUUGUCUCCCUAUCUUGCAACCUAGCUGUCCAAACUAAAGGAAACAAAGCAACUGAUGUUGCUACUCUGGUCUUUGGAGACCACAGAGGGUCACCUGGGGGAGGGGCAGAAAGGAAGCUUUGGAGGGGGCACAGAGCUAUUGGGUGACUAAGAGGAGCUGUGGGAGGGACCAGGGAUGACCCUCAAACGCUAAGUGAGCAGAGUCCCUCCCAGGCGGAUGUGAAGGGCUGGCUUCCCUUUUCCUUUGCCCUUAAGUGAGCUGGCCAGCGGGGAAGAGGCUGCGGCAGAGACAGCAGCCAGACUCAUGCCCAGCCCCCCAGCAGAGCAGACACUGAGCUCAGAGCAGAGUGGUGCAUGAAAUCAGAGGUGCGGCACACCGCAGUGAGGCUGCGCGUGUGACUGCAGCGCAAGCAAGCCUGCAGCAGGACACGGCCUGGCCCUCCAGGUCAUCGCCACUGCUGGGGCUCAGGGAAGGCAGCCACACAGUCGCGGAAAGGUGGCCGGCUCUCACCAUCCAUUCGGCACUCAGCUGCCAUGUCUACUCUGGUGCCAUAGAAACCCCGGCUGUGGGAAAGUGCAGAAGCCUCUCUCUGGUUUAACAGGUGAGUGCUGGUGCCCUCAGAGGCCAGAGGUGUCAAUCUCCUGGAGCUGGAGUCACAGGCCAAGGGGAGCUGCCUGAUAUGGGUGCUGGGAAACAGACUUGGGUCCUCUGCAGGAACAACCACUCCAUUGUCUCAGCUUUCGUCCUGCAAAGGAAGAGAGGAGCCAGGUGGUGGUGGUGCACGCCUUUAAUCCCAGCACUCCGGAGGCAGAGGCAGGAGGAUUUCUGAGUCUGAGGCCAGCCUGGUCUACAGAGCGAGUUCUAGGACAGCCAGGGCUACACAGAGAAACCCUGUCUUGAAAAACAAAACAAAACUAAACAAGAGCAGAAGGAGCAAAAGAAAAUGGCCGCAGAGGACCAACAGGGCUUCCUUUCUCUUCAAGAGUCAACCAGCUCAAUGACCAGAUUCAGCCUGGCUGAUCUUUCCAACCAAGAGUGAGAUGAGAGGAUUCCAGAAAGAGGAGGACUCUGCACCUUCAGCUUCUGCUCUCAGUUACUCACUCUCUCAAGAAUCCUUAUGAAGGGCCUGCACGGUACCCACAGUAUACUGGUACUAAAAUGAUGACUAAUCAAUCCAUGAACCUGUCCCUCUGGCAACCAAAGCCCAGUGAGGAGGCAGGCACACGCCGCCACACAGUGAGGUCUCUACUCUGAGAAGUAAACAGUGUGCUUGAGUAUCUGGAUCAAAGGAAGGUGUCGCCUUUGGAGGUGGAUGGGAGAAGAGGAGCAACACCCAGCUGGUCAAAGAGGCUUCACUGUGACACUUACUGGGUGGAACCAAGUAAUGGCUUUGGGAUGCAUUAGCAAGUCCCUUUACCAUCUAGCCACAUGAGAUAAGGUAGUUUCUAAGCAAAAGUAGUUAAAAAGAUUAUAUUCACAUUAUUAUAAUAAAAAUUAUUAUAUUUAUUUGGUGUGUAUAAAUGUAUGUGAAUGCACAUCUGUCAUGACUAACACAUGUGUGAAGUUGGGAGUCACUUCUCUCCUUAUACCAUGUAGGUCCCAGGGAUUGAACUUGGGUCAUCAGACUUGGCAGCAAAUGCCCUUAUCCACUGAGCCACCUUGCUGGCCCUGGCCUCCAGCUCUCUCUCUAGUCAAGGACGGCUUUGAACUCUUCUGCUGCUUUCUCCCAGAGGCCUAGAGGACAGGCAUGUGCCAUCCUGUCCCUUUUCCGCAGUGCAGGGAUUGAACCCAGAGCUAGGCAGGCGCUCCGCCACCUGAGCUGAGCUCAGAGCCCUAAGAGAUUUCUUUGUCCUACAGCCACCUACCAUUCAAGGAAAGGCAGCUUUACCUCUUUAAAAGGGGAAGUUCUGAGGCACUCUGCUCUUCCUGGGGUGCGGGGAGGAAUUUCCCCGGGCACUGCUAUGUCCUUAAAUAACAGAACUGCCUGUGCAAACACUGAAUCCUUGCAGGGUGCUGAGCUCCUGUUAGCAGGCUCAGGACCUUUUUUUAGGUAAGUGAGUGUUAGGCAAAGCCUUCUUCUUAAUUAAUGGGUCCACCUUAGCAACCCACCCUGUGCAGAUUCUCUCCAAUCUCACACAUCACAGGACUUCCUCUGCACUCCCCAAGGAUCAAAGCUUCCUGCCAGCCAAGGAUUGUCACCAAAUCCUAAGGAUCAGGGGCUGAAUACAAGGGGAGUUCAAAGGUGCACCUUCAAAUGGAAAAAGCAAAGAAACAGCCACUGACUCUUUCCUGCAAAGCUGUGUCUUUAAGAUCAAAAGAAGAAAUAAAAGGCAGGUAUUCUUCUUUUAGAUCCUAAAUAUGUUUAUUUAUUUGGUUAUAAAAGCCACAUAACCACAAUUCAGAGUAUUUGGAAACUACAGGAAGGAAAAAAAACCAUCUCUAGCCAGACUACCUUUUUAACACAAGAUGCAUUAGUGAGGGCACUCAGUAGUGGGCACACAGACGUGCACGUGCACACACACAUUUUUGUUUGUUUGUUUGGUUGGUUGGUUUUUAGAGACAGGGUCUCUCUAGUUUUGGAGCCUGUCCUGGAUCUCACUCUGUAGACCAGGCUGGCCUCAAACUCAUAGAGAUCCACCUGCCUCUGCCUCCCGAGUGCUGGGACUGUGCGCCACUACCGCCCGGCUCUUUUUUUUUUUUUUUUCUCCUGAGACAAGGUUGCGCUAUGUAGCCUUGGCAGCCUAGAAUUUGCUAUGUAGGCCUUUGCCUUCCCGGUGUUGGUAUUAAAGAUGUAUUCCAGUGAGAUUUAUACAUACACAUACACAGUGUGUAAAUAUAUGAUUUGUUUUAAUAUGUGUACGCCUUACUUUAUCUGUAUGGGUGUCUGUAUGGACAUUUUGUCUCACGUAUGUCUGUGCACCACAUGUGGGCAAUGCCCUCAGAAGCUAGACUUUCAGGAACUGGAGUUUCAGACAGAGGGUUGUAAGAGGCCAUGUGGGUGAUGGGAAUUGAAUUUGGGUCCUCUGGAAGGAGAGCCAGUGCUCUUAACCCCUGAGCCAUCUCUCCAACCCCCACUUUUAUUUUAUUUUUUAAAAUAUUUUAAAUAUAAGGGAGAGGAAUGGAAGCAGGGAGACAAAAUACCAGUUUUCAUUCAUGUGUAGUGUGUAUAUGUCAUGUGAAAGCAGAGGGGAGCUUUUUGUGGGGUGAGGGCUAGAGGAGAGGUGGGGAGGGCAGUAGGGGUGAAUAAAGAAAAGAUCAUGCAGGCUGGGGAACUGGCUGGGAGCACCACAGCUCUGUAGAGGACCAGUAUCGAUUCCCAGCACCCGCUUGAUGACUCACAGCCAUCUGUAACUCCAGGUCUAGGAAAUACAACUCUCUCUUCUGUGGUCCACAGACAUAUAUGCAGUGAAACAUUCAUACACAGUGGGUUUGAGGCAAUCUGGGUUGCAUCAGAUACUUUCUGAAAAAACAAACAAAAAGACAAGACAGUUUUUCUUUCAUGUGGGUUUGUGUGUAUGUAUGUUCCUGUGUGUGCAUAUACAUGUGGGGGUCAGAGGAUAACCUUGUGUGGCAUUCAUCAGGAGUUACUUGCUU